rnacentral:misc_RNA from 1 species
CGCACAUUGCGCCCUUUGGCAUUCCGAGGGGCAUGCCCGUUCGAGCGUCAUUAAAUCCAAUCAAGCCCGGCUUGGUAUUGGGCGUCGGGGUCCCCCGCGCCUCAAUUUCACCGGCUGGCCGUCGCCCGUCUUAGCGUUGUGACACACUUCUCGCUGACGAUGGGAGCGGACCACGCCGACACAAUUCCAAUGACUUUCAGUCGAAAUUCGAUUAAGGUUGACCUCGGAUCGGGUAGGAAUACCCGCUGAACUUAA